AUUGAACGCUGGCGGCAUGCUUUACACAUGCAAGUCGAACGGUAACAGCACUUCGGUGGCUGACGAGUGGCGAACGGGUGAGUAAUACAUCGGAACGUGCCUAGUAGUGGGGGAUAACUACUCGAAAGAGUAGCUAAUAUCGCAUGAGAUCUAAGGAUGAAAGCAGGGGACCUUCGGGCCUUGCGCUACUAGAGCGGCUGAUGGCAGAUUAGGUAGUUGGUGGGAUAAAAGCUUACCAAGCCGACGAUCUGUAGCUGGUCUGAGAGGACGACCAGCCACACUGGGACUGAGACACGGCCCAGACUCCUACGGGAGGCAGCAGUGGGGAAUUUUGGACAAUGGGCGCAAGCCUGAUCCAGCAAUGCCGCGUGCAGGAUGAAGGCCUUCGGGUUGUAAACUGCUUUUGUACGGAACGAAAAGCCCUCUUCUAAUACAGGAGGGUCAUGACGGUACCGUAAGAAUAAGCACCGGCUAACUACGUG
rnacentral:rRNA from 1 species